rnacentral:rRNA from 1 species
UACGUAGGGUGCGAGCGUUGUCCGGAAUUAUUGGGCGUAAAGAGCUUGUAGGCGGUUUGUCGCGUCUGCUGUGAAAUUUCGGGGCUCAACCCCGAACUUGCAGUGGGUACGGGCAGACUAGAGUGUGGUAGGGGAGACUUGAAUUCCUGGUGUAGCGGUGAAAUGCGCAGAUAUCAGGAGGAACACCGAUGGCGAAGGCAGGUCUCUGGGCCACUACUGACGCUGAGAAGCGAAAGCAUGGGGAGCGAACAGG